rnacentral:lncRNA from 10 species
CUCACCCCCAACCCCCGCCCUCCCAGCUUCUUGGCAGGAAGGUUAGGCCACUGGCAAAGUCCUCGGCGAGAGCCAGAUGAUCACAAAUGCCAACUGUGUGUCUUGGGGCCAGUUAAGUCCGCUCAUCUGCCCAGGCUCUCAGAAGACCAUUUCUUUGCUCUCAAGGCUCCCAGGAGACCGCUGCGGACACGGACCGUCCCGCUCUGGGCCCACGUGGAUGAGGUGCUGAGUCGGAUCCUCAACGUGUUCUGUCACCCACAGUUUCCAUUUUAAAUUGUAAAAUAUUCAAAUUUGGAGACAAGCAGAUAUUUUUCUCAUCUUGAAAAGGAGGAGCGAGCGUUAGCUAGCUGAUUAGCCUCUUCUGCCACAGGGAAGCACCGAUCGACUAAUAAAAG